CCGCCCAGGAACCAAUCGCCGUCGCGCCGCCCCCUCCAUAAGAAUCGAUCAAGUGCUUGUUGUUGGACAGAUCGAUGAAGAUCCACGUUAGGUUGCUAAACAACACGGCCCACGAUCUCGAGGUGGACGGCUCGGACACCAUCGGCAGCGUGAAGGCGAAGAUCAUGGAAAAGGAGGGGGUUCCACCGCAGCAGCAGCUCCUCUUCUUCGCCGACGAGGGGCUGGAGGAUGCCCGGACGCUCGCGGACCAUGGCAUCGAGGACGGGGCCUCGGUUUGCCUGAUCGCCAUCAACAUGCAGGGUUAACUCGUUUGGUAGAUCGAUGAGUGUUUUUCAGUUUUUGUAGUUUGUUUAGCGUUUUCGGUUUGGUUGCAUCGUUGUUGUGUGCAGCCAGACACAGCUAGUCUUCGUUUACAUAUGUGCAAUGGUCUAUGGUUGGGUCAGAGAUUAGGUACGAUCUGAAACUAGCAGGUCACACAUUAAUUAGGCAGCCGUGUAUAUAUGCUUGUGGUCUUUUCACUUCUCCCGCAGAGAAGUAAUUUGUUCAA